rnacentral:rRNA from 1 species
GACAGAGGGUGCAAGCGUUGUUCGGAAUUACUGGGCAUAAAGCGCACGUAGGCGGUUCGCUAAGUCUGUCGUGAAAUCCCCCGGCUCAACCGGGGAAUAGCGUCGGAUACUGGCGAGCUCGAGGUCGAUAGGGGUAAGUGGAACUCCAGGUGGAGCGGUGAAAUGCGUAGAUAUCUGAAGGAACAUCAGUGGCGAAAGCGACUUCCUGGACCAAUACUGACGCUCAUGUGCGAAAGCGUGGGGAGCAAACAGG